rnacentral:rRNA from 1 species
GAUGAACGCUGGCGGCGUGCCUAAUACAUGCAAGUCNAGCGAACGGACGAGAAGCUUGCUUCUCUGAUGUUAGCGGCGGACGGGUGAGUAACACGUGGAUAACCUACCUAUAAGACUGGGAUAACUUCGGGAAACCGGAGCUAAUACCGGAUAAUAUUUUGAACCGCAUGGUUCAAAAGUGAAAGACGGUCUUGCUGUCACUUAUAGAUGGAUCCGCGCUGCAUUANCUAGUUGGUAAGGUAACGGCUUACCAAGGCAACGAUGCAUAGCCGACCUGAGAGGGUGAUCGGCCACACUGGAACUGAGACACGGUCCAGACUCCUACGGGAGGCAGCAGUAGGGAAUCUUCCGCAAUGGGCGAAAGCCUGACGGAGCAACGCCGCGUGAGUGAUGAAGGUCUUCGGAUCGUAAAACUCUGUUAUUAGGGAAGAACAUAUGUGUAAGUAACUGUGCACAUCUUGACGGUACCUAAUCAGAAAGCCACGGCUAACUACGUGCCAGCAGCCGCGGUAAUACGUAGGUGGCAAGCGUUAUCCGGAAUUAUUGGGCGUAAAGCGCGCGUAGGCGGUUUUUUAAGUCUGAUGUGAAAGCCCACGGCUCAACCGUGGAGGGUCAUUGGAAACUGGAAAACUUGAGUGCAGAAGAGGAAAGUGGAAUUCCAUGUGUAGCGGUGAAAUGCGCAGAGAUAUGGAGGAACACCAGUGGCGAAGGCGACUUUCUGGUCUGUAACUGACGCUGAUGUGCGAAAGCGUGGGGAUCAAACAGGAUUAGAUACCCUGGUAGUCCACGCCGUAAACGAUGAGUGCUAAGUGUUAGGGGGUUUCCGCCCCUUAGUGCUGCAGCUAACGCAUUAAGCACUCCGCCUGGGGAGUACGACCGCAAGGUUGAAACUCAAAGGAAUUGACGGGGACCCGCACAAGCGGUGGAGCAUGUGGUUUAAUUCGAAGCAACGCGAAGAACCUUACCAAAUCUUGACAUCCUUUGACAACUCUAGAGAUAGAGCCUUCCCCUUCGGGGNACAAAGUGACAGGUGGUGCAUGGUUGUCGUCAGCUCGUGUCGUGAGAUGUUGGGUUAAGUCCCGCAACGAGCGCAACCCUUAAGCUUAGUUGCCAUCAUUAAGUUGGGCACUCUAAGUUGACUGCCGGUGACAAACCGGAGGAAGGUGGGGAUGACGUCAAAUCAUCAUGCCCCUUAUGAUUUGGGCUACACACGUGCUACAAUGGACAAUACAAAGGGCAGCGAAACCGCGAGGUCAAGCAAAUCCCAUAAAGUUGUUCUCAGUUCGGAUUGUAGUCUGCAACUCGACUACAUGAAGCUGGAAUCGCUAGUAAUCGUAGAUCAGCAUGCUACGGUGAAUACGUUCCCGGGUCUUGUACACACCGCCCGUCACACCACGAGAGUUUGUAACACCCGAAGCCGGUGGAGUAACCUUUUAGGAGCUAGCCGUCGAAGGUGGGACAAAUGAUUGGGGUGAAGUCGUAACAAGGUAGCCGUAUCGGAAGG